rnacentral:rRNA from 1 species
AUUGAACGCUGGCGGCAGGCUUAACACAUGCAAGUCGAGCGGGGGAAGGUAGCUUGCUACCGGACCUAGCGGCGGACGGGUGAGUAAUGCUUAGGAAUCUGCCUAUUAGUGGGGGACAACAUCUCGAAAGGGAUGCUAAUACCGCAUACGUCCUACGAGAGAAAGCAGGGGAUCUUCGGACCUUGCGCUAAUAGCUGAGCCUAAGUCGGAUUAGCUAGUUGGUGGGGUAAAGGCCUACCAAGGCGACGAUCUGUAGCGGGUCUGAGAGGAUGAUCCGCCACACUGGGACUGAGACACGGCCCAGACUCCUACGGGAGGCAGCAGUGGGGAAUAUUGGACAAUGGGGGGAGCCCUGAUCCAGCCAUGCCGCGUGUGUGAAGAAGGCCUUAUGGUUGUAAAGCACUUUAAGCGAGGAGGAGGCUACUUUAGUUAAUACCUAGAGAUAGUGGACGUUACUCGCAGAAUAAGCACCGGCUAACUCUGUGCCAGCCGCCGCAGUAA